UACGUAGGGGGCAAGCGUUGUCCGGAAUCAUUGGGCGUAAAGAGCGUGUAGGCGGCCAGAUAAGUCCGCUGUGAAAUCUCGAGGCUCAACUUCGAGCUGUCGGUGGAAACUGUCUGGCUAGAGUCCGGAAGAGGAGAAUGGAAUUCCUGGUGUAGCGGUGAAAUGCGCAGAUAUCAGGAAGAACACCAGUGGCGAAGGCGGCUCACUGGCCCGAUACUGACGCUGAGGCACGAAAGCGUGGGGAGCAAACAGG
rnacentral:rRNA from 1 species